rfam:Myotis brandtii contig297607, whole genome shotgun sequence.
GGCCAGGUAGCUCAGUUGGUUAGAGCAUCUUCCAGAUAUGCCAAAGUCGGAGGUUCAAUCCCUGUUCAGGCCA